rnacentral:rRNA from 1 species
GUGGGGAAUAUUGGGCAAUGGGGGCAACCCUGACCCAGCGACGCCGCGUGAGUGAAGAAGGCCUUCGGGUCGUAAAGCUCUGUCAUCAGGGACGAACGGCCGGUGGAGUGGAAAGCCACCGGAUUGACGGUACCUGAGAAGGAAGCCACGGCUAACUACGUGCCAGCAGCCGCGGUAAUACGUAGGUGGCAAGCGUUGUCCGGAAUUAUUGGGCGUAAAGCGCGCGCAGGUGGGAUCUUAAGUCCAUUUUGAAAGUUCGGAGCUCAACUCCGUGAUGGGAUGGAAACUGGGAUUCUUGAGUACCGGAGAGGAAAGCGGAAUUCCCCGUGUAGCGGUGAAAUGCGUAGAUAUGGGGAGGAACACCAGUGGCGAAGGCGGCUUUCUGGACGGUGUCUGACACUGAGGCGCGAAAGCUAGGGGAGCGAACGGGAUUAGAAACCCUAGUAGUCC